GGGCUGGACUGGGAGGUGGGCGGGCUGGCAGGCGGCGGCGGUCACUGGCCAGGCGUGGGCGCGCGCGGGGCUGCCGCGGGCACUGAGAGUCGGCUGAGUAGCCUGAGCCCGGAGCACCUCGGCUGCCGCCUCGCGCCCUGCGUCCUUCCAUCCGCCCUCGCCCAGCCAUGCCCGCGGUGGACAAGCUCCUGCUGGAGGAGGCGUUGCAGGACAGCCCCCAGACUCGCUCUUUACUGAGUGUGUUUGAAGAAGAUGCCGGCACCCUCACCGACUACACCAACCAGCUGCUGCAGGCCAUGCAGCGCGUCUUUGGAGCCCAGAAUGAAAUGUGCUUGGCCACCCAACAGCUUUCCAAGCAGCUGCUGGCGUAUGAAAAGCAGAAUUUCGCUCUUGGCAAAGGUGAUGAAGAAGUAAUUUCUACGCUCCAUUAUUUUUCUGAAGUAGUGGAUAAGCUUAAUGUCCUCCAUACAGAGCUGGCCAAACAGCUGGCAGACGCCAUGGUCCUACCUAUUGUACAAUUUCGAGAAAAGGAUCUCACAGAAGUAAGCACUUUAAAGGAACUUUUCGGACUCGCCAGCAGUGAGCAUGAUCUCUCAAUGGCAAAAUACAGCAGGCUCCCUAAAAAAAAGGAGAAUGAAAAGGUAAAGACUGAAGUUGUGAAGGAGGUGGCAGCUGCACGGCGGAAGCAGCACCUGGCGUCCCUCCAGUACUACUCCGCCCUCAAUGCGCUGCAGUACCGGAAGCGGAUGGCCAUGAUGGAGCCCAUGAUAGGCUUCGCCCAUGGACAGAUUAACUUUUUUAAGAAGGGAGCAGAGAUGUUUUCCAGAAGCAUGGACAGCUUUCUAUCCUCUGUUGCAGACAUGGUUCAGAGCAUUGAGGUGGAACUGGAAGCUGAAGCAGAAAAGACGCGGAUAUCUCAGCAAGAAUUGCUUUCUGUCGAUGAAUCUGUCUACACGCCAGACUUCGAUGUGGCUGCACCCCAGGUCAACAGGAACCUCAUCCAGAAGGCCGGUUACCUUAACCUUAGAAACAAGACGGGGCUGGUCACCACCACCUGGGAGAGACUUUACUUCUUCACCCAAGGCGGGAAUCUCAUGUGUCAGCCCAGGGGAGCUGUGGCUGGAGGUCUGAUCCAGGACCUGGACAACUGCUCGGUGAUGGCGGUGGAUUGCGAAGACCGACGAUACUGCUUCCAGAUCACCACUCCCAGCGGAAAACCGGGAAUCAUCCUCCAGGCAGAGAGCAGAAAAGAAAAUGAAGAGUGGAUAUGUGCAAUAAACAACAUCUCCAGACAGAUCUACCUGACCGACAACCCAGAGGCAGUCGCCAUCAAGUUGAAUCAGAAGGCUCUCCAGGCUGUGACUCCAUUUACAAGUUUUGGGAAAAAACAAGAAAGCUCCUGCCUCAGCCAGAACUUGAAAAAUUCAGAAACAGAAAAUGACAAGAUUGUUCCCAAAGCAACAGUCAGUAUUCCUGAAGCAGAAGAACUGAUCGCACCUGGGACGCCUAUUCAGUUUGAUAUUGUACUUCCUGCCACAGAAUUCCUCGAUCAGAACAGAGGGAGCAGGCGGAUCAACCCUUUUGGUGAAACUGAAGAUGAGUCAUUUCCGGAAGCAGAAGAUUCUCUUUUGCAACAGAUGUUUAUAGUUCGUUUUUUGGGGUCAAUGGCAGUUAAAACAGACAGCACUACUGAAGUGAUCUAUGAAGCAAUGAGACAAGUGUUAGCAGCUCGGGCUAUUCAUAACAUCUUCCGUAUGACAGAGUCUCAUCUGAUGGUCACCAGUCAAACUCUGAGGUUGAUAGAUCCUCAGACUCAGGUGUCAAGGGCCAACUUUGAACUUACCAGUGUCACACAGUUUGCUGCUCAUCAAGAAAAUAAAAGACUGGUUGGCUUUGUCACCCGAAUUCCAGAGUCCACAGGAGAAGAGUCUCUCAGCACGUACAUUUUUGAAAGCAACUCAGAAGGCGAAAAGAUAUGUUAUGCUAUUAAUUUGGGAAAAGAAAUUAUUGAGGUUCAAAAGGAUCCAGAAGCACUGGCUCAAUUAAUGCUGUCUAUACCACUAACCAAUGAUGGAAAAUAUGUACUGUUAAAUGAUCAAUCAGAUGACAAUGAUGGAAAUCCAAGUGAAAAUAGAAGCGCAGAAUCUGAAGCGUGACUCACUGGGGCCUGUGGGGGAAGCACGCACAGGAAGGAAAGCUACCUCCUUAAGGGUUUUCAACUUCUCUGAUGUAUAGGCACACUGACCUGGCUUCAGAAUGCUGACAAUCGUUUGUGGAAUGUGCCCCUUGAUGCCUUGAUACUGAGACUUGGGAGGGAAACAGUUAAGAAAAGGGUGACAGCCUUCCUACCCAUCUACAAAUGUUAUUUUAGGUGCCUUGUGGUUCUGAAUAUACUCACUAGAGGAGGAACAAUGAUAUAGAAAUUUCGGAGAUGUAUAUUCUUUGGCCUUCGAAAUUCUGGAGCAAAAACAUCUACAAGCAUUUUGAAAUAUUCUGUGCCUUCAGCAGAAUUUCGUGUAUGAUCACUGAGGACCGAGUCCAAAUGCCUAAAAACCAAACAAACAAAAAUGUGUUUCCUCUUUUAAACAAGGUGUGGCCUUUAAAAAACAGUGUGUGCUUUUAGAUAAAAGCACUCAUAAGCAGGAAACAUUAUACAGUUUCUAUAUAAGUUUCCUUGGAGUUCACAAUGAAAUAAUUUUCUUAUGGGCAGAAACUGAUUAGAAUCAUCUAGUUAACUUAAUUAUUAAAACAGAAUAGAGCAUCCGGGGACUUAAAAUGAUAAGGUUUUGUAUUUCUUUUCCCCACAAUGAGCCCUGUACAACAUCUCAUUGUAAGUAAAGUCUUCAUUUUAAGUCUCUUCACUAAUCCUUCCUCUACAUCUCCUUACCUCAACUUAAACCUGGCCUUCUUUCAAGAAGCUUUUCUUUCAAUCUUCAGAAAUAUUAGCUGCUUUUCCUCCUGAAAUCCUCACGUAUACUACUUUUACAUGUUAUUCCUCCACCAGAGGAAGGCAGAAAUCUCUCCUUUAAUCCAACUACAUGAUCCAACUACAGAUGCUCCUCAACCUACAAUUGGUUUGCAUCCUGAUAAAUCCACAGUAAAUUGAAAAUAAAGUAAAAAAAAAAAAAAUGUGUGUAUACACGUAGCCAACUGAACAUGAUAGCCUAGCAAUGCAGUAUACUGGAGUAUAUCAGUUGUUUCGCUUUCUGUGAGGCUGACAGGGAGCUACAACUCACUGUUCUGCUCUGUAUCACACAAGAGGUUCAUAAUACAAAUUGCUAGCCCAAAAAGAGAUCCAAAUACAAGACAUACAGGAGCUAGGGAUGCAGUUUAGUGGUAAAGUACUUGCCUCGCAAGCACCAGGUACUAGCAAGCGCCAGGCCCUAAGCUUGAUCUCAGCACCACAAAAAUAUAAAUCAAAAUAAUCAAAGUAUAAUUUCUACUGAAUGCUUUAUCAUUGUCACACCAUCCUAAAAUUGAAAAAAGAGUAAAGUUGAAAGUAAAAUAAAAUGGUAAAUUGAGCCAUUAUAAAUCAGUGGUCAUCUGUAUAUUCAUCUACUCUUUUGGAAAGCAAGCAUCUACCAAUUUUUAGCCACUACCCUAACUUAGAAUCUAGGACUAGGAUGCCUUCCCCAGUUCUCUACUGUUUAUGUGGAUAAUUUACUCAUUACCAUGACCCCACAACUCUUGGAUUUCAUCUGCCAUGACAUUUCUUCACUUACUAUUAACCAUCCUCUCCCUUGCACAAAUGUGGAUCUUUCAGUUAUCAAUCAGCUUUACCCUAGAUAUCUUAAAAACCAAUAUCCUACUGUAACUUCCUUUGGCUUCUUCAAAGUAUUUUUUAAGCAGUCCCCAAUUUUGAAGAAAAUGAUGACAUUUAACAGGAGAUAAAGGGUCCAAUUUUCUUUCUUUGGUAUGCAAGCCACAACCAUUUUAAUCAUUUUCAUGACUUCAAAUGACUUUAAUACCUGUCUUCUGUAAUCUAGUAAAGCACUAUGCUAUCCAGUAGGAUACUGCAGAACAAAGUUUCUGUGUUCGGGUCAUGUUUUCAUUAAAAUGUACACAUAUAUUUUCUGGUAUAUUUUAAUAUUUUUAUUUUUAAAAAUAUCAAGCAUAUAAAAAAAUUAAAAUAUAGUAUAAUGAACCCUGAAUGCCCUUAAUUAGAUUCACACUUCUUCACAAUUUGCUAGUUUUCUCUAUUUUUCAGAAACAUUUCAAAAUUGCAGACCUCAUGUCACUUAGCACAUAAAUACUUCAGCAUUACUUUAUUAGAACAAAGACAUUUCCCUAAAAAGCCACAUCAGUACACCCAAGAAUAAAAUACAACAUUAUCUAAUACACAACCCAUUUUUCAAAUCUCCCCAAUCAUUCCCCAAAUGUCCUUUAUAGAUAAAUGUUUUCUUUACCUGGAUUAUGAUUAAGGACAACCCCAUUACAUUUGAUUAUCAGGUCUCUUUAUUCUCCUAAUCUAGACAGCCUCUUUGCAUUUUUGGUCUUUCAUGACAUCUGACAUUUUUUAAGAGUCUAGGCCAGGUAUUUCACAGAACGCCCCACAUUCUGGAUUUCUCACAUUGCUUCUUCCUAAUAAAUUCAGAGGAAACACUCCUAGGAAGAAUAUAAACUAGGUGCUUGUCAUUACAUUACAUCAUGAGGCCAUAUAAUAUCAGUCUGUCCCAUUACCAAUGUGCUGUUUUAUCACUUGAUUAACGUGGUAGACAUCUCUUCUACAUUGCAGAUAGCUUUUCCCUGUGUGAUUAAUAAGCAAUUUUGUGGGAUGAUUUUUGAAAAUGAAUUCUCUGGUUUCCAAAAACUUUUCACCCAACAUUUAAGUGUUAUAAUCGCAAAAUGUGAUAUUUUUCCCCUUAAUUUUCUCAUCUGCUUUAUGUUAGCAGCCAUUCUUUUGUUAAAAGAAAAAAACAACUCUGUUUUAACCUUUCUUAUUAUCACUAUAAUUCAUAGAUUUUUUUUAUUCAAUGUUUUAUGACCUAUUUCUAUCAUUACUCUCUUUUUUUUUUUUUUUAAGUUGUAGAUGGACACAAUACCUUUAUUUUGUUUAUUUUUAUGUGGUGCCAGGGAUGGAACCCAGUGCCUUACGCAUGGCGAGGUAAGCGCUCUACCAAUGAGCCGCAACCCCAGCUCCCCAUUACUCUUUUUGACAUUCAAACUGUCUCCACUUUGUUCAGAGUGCCCCUUCAUAUCUGAUUCAAUAAAAUGCUAUAAAUAUUUAAAAUAAUAUCUACAAUUUUCUAAACAAAUUCUUAAUUUUUCUCUCAAGUUUUAUGUUACAAAAUCACUAAUGACUCAAGCCUGUAGAUCUGCACUACCCAAUAAGAUCCCUAUCAGUAGUAAAAUGAAAAGAAAAUCAGUUCCCCAGUCUAAUCUGCCAUAUUUCAAGUGCUCAACAGCAAUGUAUGGUAGUGGCUGCUCUCCUAGAGGACUCUACUAUGCUGCUUUAGAGGACAUGAAAGGAAGGACUGGCAUUCAAGAACACUGCUAAUGAAUAGAAAUAUUUUUAAAGUAAGAAGAAAUAAGUAAAUGAAUUUUACAAAUGAGAUAUCUGACAAUCCUUUUCUUAUAAUAAAUCUUUGAGAUAAGUUGUUUGACCCAAACACAUUUCAGGUGCCUAGAGUCAUAUGUGGCUAGUGAGUUCCAUACUGGACAGCAUGUUCCAAAAGAUCCCUUUUUAGUGAAGUUGGAAAGAUCCUGGAAUGCUAUAAGUCUCUAAAAAACAAUGUUAUUUCAUAAACUGAGACCAUACAUAAUUUGCAUAAUAAAGACCCUGGCAUAUAAAUUACAUAUUACCCUCUAGUCUUCUCAUUAAUGUUUUAUAUAAACACACUAUUUUAAACUUCCAAAUUUAAUUAUUCCAAAAUUAGACUACCUUGCUGCUUUUAAUGUUUCCUCUGAAAGACCUUCUUCUUUCACUAGUUCCUCAAAGUUUACAAUAUCUUCAAGAUCAGGCACAAAUCUAUAUAAGAAUUUGGGAAGGAAUUUAUUAGAGCAACUGACACAGACAUAAAAGUGGUACCAUAGGACUCAAAAUUUUUCAAUUAUGCAUUUAGGAAGAACUCUACAUUUCAUUAACAUUGUUAAUAUCACCACUUAAGUUCCAAAUCAAAUGGACAUGAUCACAUUUUAAUCCUUAAAAUCACAUACUCUUUAGAUCCUCUUGUUUUCCAUACUGACAAAUAAACAUAACUACAACCUUAAGAGAAAUAAAGAUUUCAAAAGUAUAAAGCAAAGAAAUCUAGUAGAAGUAAUGGUUUUCUUUCACAUUAGAAUUAAUGGAUUUUGUCUACAUUUUAUCUCAAAAUAUAUUAACACAAAUAAACACCUUCUCUAUAAUCAAUAAACAGAUUUAAGUAACAAUUUUCAAAUAGCAUAAACAAGGCAAAAAUGAUAUUUGCAUCCAUACCUAAUGGCAUUGCUGCUACAAUGAAGACCACCAGAUCUUAUCAUUCGUACAUAGCCCAUAGCAUUACCUUAAAAACCACAUAAAAAAAUCAGAUAUUUAUAUAAAUAACUCUAAAAUCUAUAAUCAGGAAUAUAAUUACAUACAGUAGUCAAUUACAAGGUUUCCACUCCGAAGUACCAAAAUAAUCUGCUAUAUUUUACUUCUGUUCAGUGUUCCAUUAAAAGCAAAACUGUUAACAUACUUCUGUACUUAAGUUAUAUACAUCUACAUUAAAUAUUUAAAAUAAACCUAACUUUCAACAAACUAAAUUCAUUAAAUGCUAUGUUAAAAUGAUCUAACAGUUUUAAAUUUUAAUAUCAAUAGUUUAUUUGCUUUCACACCAAAAUCCAGUUUCCUCUUUUUCUCCCUCCCUCUUCAACAACGUUUGCAGUUAUCAUCCUAUUCCUAAUUGCCACAUCUUGCCUAGAACACUACAAUAUGCAAUGGUUUCCUGAUUUCCCUACCUUCAUCAUUAGUACCCUGCCGUAUCCUUCAAUCUUUCAUUUAACUAGCAGCUAGUUACUGUUGGAGGCAGGUGCAGUACUGGGGAUUGAACUCAAAAGUGCUUAACCACUGAGCCACAUUCCAAGCCCUUUUUCUUUUUUAUUCUGAGACAGGGCCUCACUAAUUGUUUAGGGCCUUGCUAAGCUGCUAAAGCUGACCAUGAACUUGGAAUCCUCCUGCAUCAACCUUCUGUGUUGCUGGGAUUACAGGUGCGCACCAAUACAUCCAGCUACAGCUAGUUACUUUAUAAAAACUAAGUUGGAGCACAUCAGCCUUUUCUGAAAACUCUACAAUGCUUUCCAUCUCAAUAAAACCCAAACUCUGUAUGUUCAACUUCAGUAUAGCCCUGCAUUUUCCUGCCCCUGGCUGCUGUUCUGCUAUCACACCUUGCCGAUCAGGUCUUCACUAACUCCAUUCCAGCCCCCAGCCAAGUCCUCACAAUGCCAAGCAGACUCGGGAGUUUUGCAAUUGACUGUCAACUGUCAGGUAUACUUUUUCCCUAGAUAUGAACAAGGUUUAUGCCCUCAUUUUAUUAAGUCCCUGUUCAUAUGUCACCUUCAAAAGCUUUCCCUGAAUAUCAUUGCAUAAUGCCCAAUCCCAUUACAUAACCUCACCCAGCACUUAUCAGUGACAUAUUAUCUUUUUGUUUAUAUCUCCCCUCACUACAAUGCAAGAUCCAUGAGUACAGCCUUUGACUUCUUCAUUGCUUCAUCCCUAGAGUCAGCAAGUCCUAGCACAGGGUAGGAAUUCGAUACAAAAUUGAAGUGAAUUGAAAUUAUUUAGGAGAGAACAGAUAAAAAGGUAAGAAGCAGUUAACAUUUUUUAACCAUUAUGGUAACAUAUGUGUUGAUAUUAACAACCCUACAAGGCAGGUAUCACUAAAUCUAUCUUAAGGCCUGUCCCAGUGGGGUUUUUAAGGUUUUUUUUUUUUAAAGCACAUAUUAGAAAAAUCAAUUAUCUAGUUUUACUAUUUUCCUCCAAACUGUCAGACAUAUGUCUGGCUAAUUGAAAUGUGAGAGGUAGAUACAGAGCAAUGGUUAAAAGCAAAGCUCUGAAACCAGACUACUUGGGUUCACAUUCAGACUCUGCCACUCAUUAGCUGGAAGAUCUAGGUCAAAUUAUGGAACUUCUUUUUAUGUCAGUCUCAUCUGUUAAACUCUAGAAGGGCAGAGAUCUUUUCUACUGUCAAAAUUCUGAUAUUAGUAUGUGAAAAAUGAAAUUUAAGCAAUACUGCUCCAAGGACAGCUCUAAAUCUGAGGUCCCCAGACCCACACUUAAAGCACCUGGACUCUUGUACCUUAUAUACAAAAGUAUAAGUACAUACAGGCAUUAGUUCUAGGAGAAAGCAAUCCAGAAUUUUCACCAGAUUCUCAAAAACUAAGAAUUGCUGCUCCAGAAGUGGCCACCUAAUAUGAUAUCAAAUGUCUCCCUGAAGAAAACAAUACUCAACACCUUAUAUUAAAUGGUUUAAGAUAAAAAAUUUACAAAGCUAAUAUUUUUGUACUAUCAUAGAAACAUCUAAUAUCCAAACCAAGCAAUCUAUAAAACUUAAGCUACAAUUCAGUGACGUUACUCUAGCACUAAAUACUUGUAACAUAUUUCCUACUAGUAAAUUUAAAGCCCCUUGGGAGCAAAGAUUGUCUGCAUCCCCAGCACCUGAAAGAACAUUCAUCACAAUUGAUGCUUAGUAAAUGUUUGAUAAAUGAAUAAAUGAAUCUCAGAAGGCAAAAAUUUCCUAAAAUAUAGCUAAGAAGAUUUUAUUAAGUGAUUGGUGUCAUUUAACAUAAAAUGUGAAGAAUUUAAAAACACCUCUGGACUUAUACCUUAAAAACCUUGAUUUAAGCCUCAGCAACACCAUUUUUUUUUUCUCUAAGUCUCUGUCUUUUUCUUUCAUCCCCUCCUUCUCUCUCCUUUUCUAUUUAUUUAUUUUUAGUUCUAGAGAUUUAACCCAGGGAUGCUUAACCACUAAGCUAUAUCCCCAGCCCUUUUUUUUUAUUUUGAGACACA